rnacentral:rRNA from 1 species
UAGAACGCGUAGCGACAGCGUUAACACAUGCAAGUCAGGGUAACAGGUAGCAUACGCUGACGACCGGCGCACGGUGAGUAACGCGUAUGCAACCUGCCUAGUAACUGGGGAAUAGCUCCCUGAAAGGGAAUUAACACGCAUAAUACUAUUGAUUCGCAUGGAUUAGUAGUUAAAUGUAGCGAUACAGGUUAUAGAUGGGCAUGCGUGACAUUAGCUAGUUGGUGAGGUAACGGCUCACCAAGGCUACGAUGUCUAGGGGUUCUGAGAGGAAGGUCCCCCACACUGGUACUGAGACACGGACCAGACUCCUACGGGAGGCAGCAGUGAGGAAUAUUGGUCAAUGGGCGCAAGCCUGAACCAGCCAUGUCGCGUGCAGGAAGACUGCCCUAUGGGUUGUAAACUGCUUUUAUAGUAGAAGAAACACAUCUACGCGUAGAUGUCUGCCAGUAUACUAUGAAUAAGCAUCGGCUAACUCCGUG